rnacentral:rRNA from 1 species
UACAGAGGGUGCGAGCGUUAAUCGGAAUUACUGGGCGUAAAGGGCGCGUAGGCGGUUAUUUAAGUUAGAUGUGAAAUACCCGGGCUUAACCUGGGAAGUGCAUAUAAUACUGGAUAGCUAGAGUAGAAGAGAGGGAAGUGGAAUUUCCGGUGUAGCGGUGAAAUGCGUAGAUAUCGGAAAGAACACCAGUGGCGAAGGCGGCUUCCUGGAUUCAUACUGACGCUGAGGCGCGAAAGCAUGGGGAGCAAACAGG